rnacentral:lncRNA from 1 species
CUUCCGGUUUCCUUUCCCUCAGCUAUUCCAUGGCUUUUCGUGUGGACAAAUCGGGAGGUGGUGUAAACUGGUUUUUGGUGAAAUUCGGCUCGGCCUCAUGCGAACCUAUCUAGGUCCGUCUCUGGAGUGGCCUGUCAUCGAUCGCGCCCUCCAUCGCUGAGCGACACAAGUGGAACCCCCCAGGACUGCAUUCUGCGAAACUACCCUGCUUUUCCCCCAGUUUUGGUCUGUGAACACAUUUGGGAAAUUCUUCUGAUCCUACCGCUACUCUCUUGAGGUACAGUAAAUUGUCUUUGACUUCCAUCACCUUUUGUAAUAUUACAAUUGCCAUCUAUUGAGUUCCUAUGAUCAGCCUGGCAUUGUACUAAGUGCUUUAUAUUUUCUUGUUCAUUUUUUUAUGCCAACAUAAAUGAGUUUGACUCAAUUCUUAUUAUAACCUGCCAAAAUAAGUAUUCCUCUUCCUUUUUACAGAGAGAGAAACAAGGGGAAAAAAAGUUAAUUGCCUGAGGAUACACUGCUAGUGUUGCGGGACAAAUAGAGACGGGAGAGGCCAAACAGAAUUCAGGAGAACCCUUUAUUAUUAAGGUGAUCACUGGCUCAGUCGGACUGAGGUCCAGAAAGUCUGAGCCCGGAACAAAGGGAUCAAUCACCUUUUAAGCAGUUUGUGGCGGGAGUUUGGUGCUACAGGAAGCCUACUUGCAGAAGCAAGAACAAAGGCAGUUAAUUAUUCUUUUACAUUUGUUACACCACAUGUCUUACAUCCUUGGGAAUACAUGCUUUUGUAGCAAUUGCUUAUCAACCUUGUGACUUUACAGCCGCGCUAGGGAGGGAAGCAGGAACUCGUGGUGCCUCAAGGAACGUGAAACGGUGGAACACA